AUUGAACGCUAGCGGGAUGCUUUACACAUGCAAGUCGAACGAGUGGCGGACGGGUGAGUAAUAUAUCGGAAAGGGCCAAGUAGCGGGGGAUAACUCCUCGAAAGAGGGGCUAAUACCGCAUAACAUUGGAGCGGCCGAUAUCGGAUUAGCUAGUUGGUGGGGUAAAGGCUAACCAAGGCAAAGAGCCGUAGCUGGUUUGAGAGGACGACCAGCCAACAUGGGACUGAGACACGGCCCAGACUCCUACGGGAGGCAGCAGUGGGGAAUUUUGGACAAUGGGGGAAACCCUGAUCCAGCCAUCCCGCGUGUAUGAGAAGGCCUUCGGGUUGUAAAGUACUUUCAGUCGGGAGGCGUUACCGACAGAAGAAGCACCGGCUAACUCCGUGCCAGCAGCCGCGGUAAUAC
rnacentral:rRNA from 1 species